GGAUUCCUACGGGGAGCAGCAGUGAGGAAUAUUGGUCAAUGGGAGAGAUCCUGAACCAGCCAAGCCGCGUGAGGGAAGACGGCCCUAUGGGUUGUAAACCUCUUUUGUCGGAGAACAAAACCCGGGACGUGUCCCGGACUGCGUGUAUCCGAAGAAAAAGCAUCGGCUAACUCCGUGCCAGCAGCCGCGGUAAUACGGAGGAUGCGAGCGUUAUCCGGAUUUAUUUGGUUUAAAGGGUGCGUAGGCGGUCUGUUACGUCAGCGGUAAAAUUGCGGGGCUCAACCCUGCCGAGCCGUGGAACCUGG
rnacentral:rRNA from 1 species